UGAUAGCUCAGCUGGAUAGAGUGUCUGACUACGAAUCAGAAGGUCGGGGGUUCGAGUCCCUUCCGGC
rnacentral:tRNA from 1 species